rnacentral:rRNA from 1 species
GACGAACGCUGGCGGCGUGCUUAACACAUGCAAGUCGAACGGGAUUUAGUAAACGGAAGCCUCGGUGGAAGAUUACUAAUGAGAGUGGCGAACGGGUGAGUAACGCGUGAGCAACCUGCCUAUGACAGUGGGAUAGCCUCGGGAAACCGGGAUUAAUACCGCAUAAAAUCGUAGAAACACAUGUUUCAACGGUCAAAGAUUUAUCGGUCAUAGAUGGGCUCGCGUCUGAUUAGCUAGUUGGUGAGAUAACAGCCCACCAAGGCGACGAUCAGUAGCCGGUCUGAGAGGAUGAACGGCCACAUUGGAACUGAGACACGGUCCAAACUCCUACGGGAAGCAGCAGUGGGGAAUAUUGCACAAUGGGGGAAACCCUGAUGCAGCGACGCCGCGUGAACGAAGAAGGUAUUCGUAUCGUAAAGUUCUGUCCUAUGGGAAGAUAAUGACAGUACCAUAGAAGAAAGCUCCGGCUAAAUACGUG